UACGUAGGCAGCGAGCGUUGUUCGGAGUUACUGGGCGUAAAGGGUGUGUAGGCGGCCUGUUAAGUUUGGUGUGAAAUCUCCCGGCUCAACCGGGAGGGUGCGCCGAAAACUGGGAGGCUAGAGUGCGGGAUGGGAGAGUGGAAUUCCUGGUGUAGCGGUGAAAUGCGUAUAUCAGGAGGAACACCGGUGGUGCAGACGGCUCUCUGGACCGUAACUGACGCUGAGACACGAAGGCGUGGGUAGCAAACAGG
rnacentral:rRNA from 1 species